rnacentral:rRNA from 1 species
CUCCUCCUCCCGCACCCGCGCCUCCUUCUCCUCCCGCGCGCCUCCUCUCCUCCCGCCCACAUCGCCGCCGCCGCCGCCGCCGCCACCCACCGCCUCCCGUCGGCAUCCAUCCACUGCUCCGGCGCCAUCCAGAUGCACCGCAACAGAGCCUCCCAGCCCUGGGGCAAGAAUAGAGAUGGCAGCGAUGGCCGGAUCCGAAGACGGCGGGGCGGCGACCACUCCCGUGAGACUCGGCGGCAAGCAGCGCGCACCGAGGGGUCGAAGGGCGCUCCGGAUCCAGAUCCGGGCGCGGUGGCGGCCAUGGCCGAGCUUGAGCCGGGGCGCGGUGGCGGCCAUGGCCGAGCUUGAGCCGGAGUGCGAGGAGGACGGCGCUGACGUCAAGAUCGCGCACAUCGAGCCCGAGAUCCUGCGCCUCUCCUCCAGUUUCCUCCACCUCCGCGUCUUCCGGGGCCAUGACGCGCAGCCAACUGGGACAGGGCCACGGGCGAGGGGGGGGAGGCCUCGCACCCCUCGAUCUGGACGGGGCCGUGGCCUGCCUCCACCACCGCCAGCCCGCCGCCGCGGCGCGCCUUGCCGGCCGACGCCUCCGCUGCCCCGCCGCUAAUACAGGAGCCGACGCCUCCCUGGAGCAGCCGCUCCCGCCUAGCAACGCCGCCGCCCGAAGCUGCGCCGACGACCCGUCCAGAGGCAGAUGAUUGAUCAACAGACCUACCUAUGAAGGUAGAGUGGAAGAACUGGAAAUAAAGAUGCAGGGGAAGGACAAUGAUGCUGCAACAUCACUUGUUUCAUGGCAUAAAGAGAUAGAGGCACUUGAAUCUGAGCUCUCAGAGACCAAAGUUCUUGCACAGCAGAAAUCAUUUGAGCUUUUACUCUUAUAGCCAAGUUUCAAGAUGCGCAGGCAACUACAUGUGAUGCAGAAUCUAUAGUCAAGGCACUGGUGGAAGGGAGUCAAAAUGCAAAACUCCAAGUAGAGAACUACAAACAAAAGGAAACUUCAAGUGGAUUACAGGAGUGUGCUUUGGCUGGAUCCUACUAGGGAUGAAAUGUUUUUCUCAUUUGCACUGCUCAUAUAUCAAAUUGUUUAUACUGCAAGUAUUUCUGUUUAUUGUUCUCAUGUUGCCAACUCCAUGUAUUUCUAGGUUAUUACAUGUCUUUUUUGGUAAUAUAUACUGCAAGUUCAUACAUACUGCAAGGUCAUACGCAUUUCAAAUCCAUAUAUACUGCAAGGUCAUGUGUAUUUCAACUCCAUAUAUAUUGCAAGUCUGCAACUUGCAUUUUAGAAAACUCAAAUUUAGAUUGCUCUGUUCCAGGAUUUAAAUCUUCUUGAGUUUUCCAAUCACAAAUAUCUUGCAUGCAUGGAAAGAAAAUUGGAUGUUCUUAAUCACAGAAAGGUGUUUUUUACACGUAGGUGCCUUCUUUAAAUCUAUGCAUUUUGUUGACCAUUCUAUGAUUUUAUAAUUAGAAAAUGGAUGUUAGCUACACUAUUAGAAGGUGAUCCCACUCAGCCAAUAGCAGAUCUGCAUAAAUUAAUUUCUUUAUGCAACAAAUUACUUUUAUGCACAGAUGUAUUUUAGCUUACACUAACCUGACCUUUAUGCUGAUGCUUCUGUUAUUUAUGAAUACCUCCUUUACUCUUGGCCAUGAUGGGAAGAGUUUUAAGACAUCUAAAAGGGUCAGAUUAUUGAUUGUUCUUUUCCUUUGACCCUCCUACAAGAACUUAUGUGCUGGAAUGUUGGGAGUGUUAACUCCACGGGUCUCAAAUCUGAAAAUAUUUACAGGGGCCUUCGUUGCCACGAUCAUUACUGUGUAGAACUUUCUUACUCUAGAGUGGCAUCCAAAUUAUGAAUAAGAAAUGGACAAACGGGUUGUAUACUAUUUGUUUCAUGAGCAGUCAGAAAGCUCAUGCCGGAUGCUGGUGUGCCUGAACAUUUUUGUGUCCUCGAUCGAAAGUGUCUUGCAGUUAGUUUACUUCUAUUGUUUGUUGGCGGCUGUUUUACUUGAAGUGCCUCUAUUAAGUAGAGGCUCAGUGAAUGUACGGUCUGAAAAGCUUGUGCUAUGUCACUGAUUUCUUGGUGCGAUCCAUGGUGGUGCAGGUGCAGAGAAGCGCGGAGGACAGCUCGGUGGUAGAGGCGACAUACGAGGGUGAGCACAACCACCUGCGCCCCAUGGGGGCGGUGAGCCGAGCUGCGCAACGCGUGCGGAGGCUUGGUGUUGUGCUCCAUCUCCAUCAACUCCUCCGGCCCAACCACUAUGCUGGACCUCACCAAGAACCUGGGAGGCGUGCAGGUUGUCGAGGCAGGGGAGGCGCAACCGGACCUGGAUAAGGUGUGCCUGGAGGUCGCGUCGCCAGAGUUCCAGGCGGCUUUGGUGCUCCGAGUCAAACCUCAUCCGCACCGCCUGCUUCUGCUUCGGGCGCGAGCGCCCAGAGAUUGUCAGGUAUCUGUCAAGAUGGGAUAUUCAGGUCACUCUGCGUAGUGGGUGCCUCAUCAUUUACAGGAAAGUUAUUAAUUCUAGGAAGUGAUUGCGUGCUCAUGUAGGACUUGAUGAAGGAGAGUUCAAGUGAUGGAAGAUAUUGUUUCAAUGAUAUUGAAGCUUUUUAGAUACUAUGGCAGUUAAGGUUCAUUUGAAGUCGCGGUUGGAUGCAUGAUUUAUGCAGAAAUGUAUAAGUGCCAUGUAGUGGUUAAUUAGAGGUGUUCUUUGACUAAGAUCAGGCUGCUCCUGCCGUGUCUACCAGUGAAAUGCCUCCUUCCAUGAUAAAGCAGCCUACUCUUAGGUACAGAUCUUGGUGUUGAUUCUGUCUCACCUUUCCAGCCGGAAGUGGUUCGGUUUGCUGCAGGUUUCCUCGGUGUUCAGGAACUGUGCAGAGCCUGAGGAUGAUGUAGGCCGCUGCGCCACCUCUCUUGUCAUCCUGGUCACUGCCUAACUAAUUUCUUUGAUUCAGAGGCUUGUGCCACUACAGGCGUUGCAUGGCAAUCCGCGCUUCUACGAGCAACAACAAAAACAGGGCGAAACAAAGCAAGCACAAAAGAAGAAUUGAGAUGCUACAUACAACCAAUGGUAUCCUUUUAACGCCGCCGCCGGGGGUCCUUCCCCUGAGCCAGGAUCUCUUCUACCCUGCACCGCUGCUGUGAACUCAUCCAUGCUGAUAGUCGGCUCCAUGCUACAACUGCUGCAGCCUGCAGGUAGCAUAUCUAUUGUUCUUUUUUCUCUACCUUAGUUUGUGCUUGCUCUGUUCCAGUUUUUGCAACAAGAUAACCAAUGUCUUGGGAAACCUUCAAACUGUAUUUUAUAUAUUGGUGAAUUCUGCUUGAAGAAUUCAUGGCCCACUCCCCCUCUAAAACUUAAUCAAAUAAAUAUAAUAUUUCUCCUCUACCCUAGCUAUGAGAAAAAUCGUCUAUGUUAAAUAUAUAGUCUUUGCCUUUGUUGUGUACCACUUCUUUCAGAAUAUGACCCUUGUUUCCCUUUAGUUUGCAUCACUUAAUUCUUUGCUUGAGCGACGAUUGUAGAUACUUCCCUUGAAAAAAUAAAGUUUUAGAUACUUGAUCCAUGUUUACGUAAAUGGUUUAUGAUGGUGGUUUGGUUACAUGUUUGUGGCUGGAACAUGUGUACAUCAGAAACUUGAACUACAAUAUGGUAGACAUGUACAGGACCAAGCAAGAAAUUAGAAAUGGUUAGUGCGCUAUGCCUUGAAGAGAGCCAAAAGUAAGAGAGAGGCGAGUGUACAUGACGUGAAGACGACAAGGUACCACUUCCAUGACAAUGUCAACAUCGUCGUGGUCUAUCUUCACCGGCACCGGCACCGGGGGCGCCGUCACAUCAGGGUUACGGAGCAGUAAUUGCAAACAUGGAGCCCCAAAUUAUGAUGGGUUACAGACUUUGCUUAUAAGACAACAUGAACUGACAACUUCAAUUAUAGCAUAUCUGGUAUUUUCAUAUUAUCUUUGUCAUGUGUAGAAUACAUGGUCUGAUAGGGUCAGCGUUUGUAUGAACUUUUGGUGGGUAAAGUGUUCUGUUUCUCAAGCAAGUUCAUCAUUGAACACAAAAUUUUGAUUGUGUUUUCGUGAGUUGUGAGACAUGAAUCUAUUUUAAGGAUGUUGUUGUAUGAAUACAUAUACUAAACCUGGAUUACUACUGACUUAACAUUACUUGCUUGACCAAAACGUAUGGACCGGCAUCCUCACGCCAAGGUGAUUUCCCGUUUUGUG